GCCAGCAUGGCAUAGUGGUUUGAGUGUUGGACUACUGUUCUGGAGACCAGGGUUCAAUUCCCCACUCAGCCA
rnacentral:tRNA from 1 species